UUUUAUGUUCCCCUUCCUGCUGUGGCCCUCAUUACAGUGGAACUGAACUAGAGGAUACUCAAGGAAUCAGAGGCACACCUGGCCCCGAGAAUGAGACACUUAACAGUUUUUUUCCCAGACUACAGAGGAGGUGUGGCUGCAGGGGAAAGCAAGCAGGCAUGCUCCCUCCUGACGCUAGUUCUAAGGGGACAUGUAAAGGAUUUGGGCCAAGUUUGUAUAGGAAUGUCCUGGGAGGCCUCCUGCAAGCCAGGGAAGGCUGAAAGAACUAACAGCUUCUCUGACAUGGAGGGCUGGUCAGGCUCUGCAGUGUCACUGCUUGUGUUUGUAUCAUUCUUUCACCACUGAGUUACUGUGUGACUGUGGACAAAUUUCUUAACUUCUCUGAGCCUUAGAUUUCUCAACUCUAACAUGAAGAUUUUCCUAUAUUUUAAAAAGUUAUGAUGAGUCAAUGAGAGAAUUAACGUAAAGCGCCUGGCAUAAAGAAAGCCCUCAAGAAAUGAUAGUAUUAGUGAACAUCUUGUUGCCGUCCUAGGCUCGAAUAGACUGUCCCUAAACACUCUGUUCCCACCGCUGUGAACAGUGGCAGCAUAAUUCUUUUGCAGAAUACUUCCAUUAUUUGCUUAUGUCCCUAAUGGGACCCAAAUGCCAAACUUGUAAGUCCAUCCUGUUCUACUAAAAGGCAGGGGCACAGAUAGAAAGCUGCUGAGAGACUACACUCUGAGGUCAGCCUUGACCCUGAGGCUCAUCUGGCUCUCCCUGUUCCUCUACAGCCAGGUAAAGGUUAGAGGCAAGUCUCGGAGAUGGAAACCCAAGGUCAUGCAGUUGUGCCAAUGCCCGUUGUUAGACAACAUGCUUCUAUUCCUGACAAACCAGUCUCAAGCAGCUCUGACUGAUGGGGCGGAUUUCAAUGCUCUCCAAUGACUUCCAAGUGUUAAGAAAAAGCUGCUGCUACCCUACAUGCCCAAGCUAUACGAACUACUUUUUUCCAGGCAAACAGGAUUCCUGCAGACAAUGCUCGGAUGAUGAAAUCUGAGAGGCUGGAUGACAGAGAAACCCACAUGCAUACACACACACUUUAUAAAGCUUAGGAACAAAAGCACUUUAUAAUCUCCUUCUGAUGCCAAGUUUACAGUGCUUCCAGAGUCAACAAAGGUGACUCAGGAGAGUGCACCCAGCUCCUUUCAGCACUUAUUUAGCUCAGCCACCUGUGUGAGCUCAAAGACAAGGGUGCCGACUUCACCUGAGUAGACCCUGAGUCACGUGAUUUCUUGCUGGAGAUGAUUCAGCAAAGGAGCACUAACCUCUGAGACAAGGCUUCAGCUUCCUGAGCUCUGCUGACUCGCCUGGGACUUCCCUAAGCCCUUCUGGACCUAGAUGAGGGCAAAACUCAGUGGAACCUCAGAAGCCCUAAAAAAAUGAUAGACUUUCUUUUGUCUCAUCAUUAUCAGCAUUUUGGGAUGAUUUAGUCAGCCUAAGAAACCUGAUGGCAUGUUGACACCAGAAAACAGGUAGUAUAUAUUCCCAAACCAAGUUAAAAAAAAUUAAGAAAUAACAGCUGGAAUGCCUUUUAUUUUUUCUUUACACAAAUGUGUGUGUCAUCGUCAUAUGCCUUUUUUGUGUUAAUUUCUGAGGAUCCUGCCAGUGUGAAUACUCCAUUCUCUGCGAGUCGCAGGUCAGGCUGCUUUUGAGGCAAGCACACGUUAAGUAUUGAGCAGAAACAUUUGAAGCAAAGAUGAGAAAGACAGAAGGGGAAGCAAGAAAAAUAGUCUUCCCAGUGUGCCUAUUUGGGUGCAUAUAAAGUUACUUUUAGAUGUGCGAUUACUGGUUAAUGAUUUGGGGAAUUCUUUUCAAGUAGAAAUCCUGGGCUAAAAACUAAGUGUGCUCAAGCUACCCCCGCACCCACUGAUUCUGCACUCCAUGGGAAAAGUUCUCACAAGCAAGUCCUUUGUCCACUACCCACGUCUAUAGGAAAUGUUUGAACAGCUAUACACAAAGAACUCACAAGUCCACAACCUCGGGGGUGUUGCGGGUGGAGAGGGCAGUGGUAAAGGUGAUGACAGGGAGGGCCUGUGGGGACAGUAAUAUUAGAUUAGUGGUCAGAAGAUGCUGGAGCCUGCCUUGCCAGUCACACACUUUUAGAGGAAUGCUGGACAGUACACACCCUCCCCAACCCUGAAUGUAGGCCCUCGCUGACAUCACGCCAGAUGAAGCCCUGAGGUCUUUAACAUCUGUAACUCUAUGGCAUGUAACAUAAACAGGUGUCUGACCAGUUUCCCCAGAUAUAGAAUAAUAAUAAUACCUUUCAUUUAAAAAGGUAAGAGGGAAUUCAACAAGCUUUCCUUCUUAAAUAAAUCUCCAUCUCAGGAAGCCAUGGAAAGAUGCCCCUCCCACACUAAGACUGUAGAGAGAGGCACUGUGAAGGUCUGGCUUGGAGAUCUCAGCUCUUCCUGCCUCUCAGGGGGAAAGGGCAGAUCCAGCAGGCCGGGAAAGGAUCUCCCAGGGUCCCAAGGAGGCAGCAUGGGGCAAAGUCCAACAGUGAGGAUUCUCUCCUUCUCUGGUCUCUUUUCUGUUAAAAAUGCUUCUUUGGGGUACCCUUCAUUACUACCCUGGAGGUUGAAGGACACUUCUUGAGAAGGCAUAGAUACUCUUCAGGUAUGCUGAAGAAAUGAGUUGUGCUAAAACCACUGGUUAAUUUUGUCUGUGGCAAAAAAUCAUGAGGGUGACAUAGACUCCCAGGCCAGGAACCCGAGACUGGAUUUAAGAGAUGUGGCCAGGAUCCACAGGGGAGCUUGUAUGUGGCUCACAUCAUUAGCUCUUUCUGUAUAUUUGUAUUGUAAACCAUUUCCCUUCAUUUGUGAAGAUGGAGAUCACUUUUUCUAUACAGGCUAGAAAUGUUUCUUCAUACACACACGCUGAGCUUGUUUAUAAAAGAUAUUCAUUUAUAUGGUGGUUUUAACAACUUUUCCAUGUGGAAAUUUUAGACGACAGUAACACAGACCCUCAUGUACUCAUCACUCAGCCUUGAUGGUUACUGACACAUGCCCAAUAUUGUUUCAUCUGUUUCUCCCCACAACUCCUGGAUUAAUUUGAAAGAAAUCCUAGAAGUCACUUAAUCAGCAAAUACUCCAGUCUGUUGGUCCACUCCUUAUACAAUAGCCAGGGUGAUCUUUUACACAUGAAGUAGUGAUUGCAUCACUCAUGCUUGCUUGGAAUUCUUCAAAGACUUACGUUGGCACUUCAGAUAAAGUGUAGACUCCUUCGCGUGACCUAGGAUGUCCUUUGGGCUCUCACUGUUCCCUCAGCCUCCUCACCUGAAGCUCUCACUGCCCCACCCCUUUGCUCAUCACACUCCAACCCGCCUGCCAUUGAGCUACUCAAAUGGACUGCUCCUUUCUCAAGACCUCUGCACACUUUCAAGCCUCAUUUCUCUUCAGCCUUUAUUAAAUGUCAUCUCCUCCAGAUGGCCUCCUUUGGUGGCCCAGGUCAUGUUAGAUCUGCCUGUUAAAUAAAUGCUUUCAAAGAACCUUGGAUUUUAUUUUUUUCUCAUUAAAUUGUAAGUAUAUAGUUAAUGUUUAAUUUCUCUUUAAAAUUUCUUUCUCCCUCCCCACCCCAACUGGACUGUAAAUUCCACAAGAGCAGGAUCAUGUUUGCCUCACUCAUCACUGAAUUCCUGGCACCUCGCACAGAACCUGAGUAUUGCAGAACCCAUGCCUGCUAUGCACAUAUGCAUUGAUAUAAGCCUAUUAUAUAAAUAAACAGAUCAAUAUCUAUUUGGCUAUUUACACCCCACCUAUAUGUCUUUGGUCAAGAUUUAAAAGCUCCUGGAAAAACAAAAAUACAAUUUCCUUAGGAAUAAAAGCCUACCACAGCCUUGUGUAAAAUUAAGCACUUAAUAACCUUGAUGAUG
rnacentral:lncRNA from 10 species